rnacentral:snRNA from 1 species
GGAUGUGAGGGCGAUCUGGCUGCGACAUCUGUCACCCCAUUGAUCGCCAGGGUUGAUUCGGCUGAUCUGGCUGGCUAGGCGGGUGUCCCCCUCCUCCCUCACCGAUCCAUGUGCGUCCCUCCCGAAGCUGCGCGCUCGGUCGAAGAGGACGACCUUCCUCCCCGAGGAGAGGACCGGUCUUCGGUCAAGGGUAUACGAGUAGCUGCGCUCCCCUGCUAGAACCUCCAAACAAGCUCUCAAAAGAAGCCAUUGAAAGAACCUCCAAACAAGCUCUCAAGGUCCAUUUGUAGGAGAACGUAGGGUAGUCAAGCUUCCAAGACUCCAGACACAUCCAAAUGAGGCGCUGCACGUGGCAGUCUGCCUUCCUUU